GCCGGGCAUGGUGGCGCAUGCCUGUAAUCCCAGCUACUUGGGAGGCUGAGGCAGGAGAAUCGCUCGAACUCGGGAGGCAGAGGUUGCAGUGAGCUGAGAUCGUGCCACUGCACUCAAGCCUGGGUGACAGAGCGAGACUCUGUCUCAA
rnacentral:SRP_RNA from 1 species